GAUUCAGAAUCCAUUUCGAGAAGAGGUAAUGAGCCCAUGGAGAGGGGGCUGCCUCUUCUCCUCAGCCCGCCCCACCCCAUAUGUGGGUCCUGUUCUGGCCUUUCCAGGUAGC
ensembl:misc_RNA